GUGAGACUAACGUGUGUAUUGAUAUGGAACGAAAUAAAUUCCAGUUUGAUUACCACUUGAUUCUUGUGGCUUUUGGUGAAAGGACAAAAUAUGAAGAAGUGACAGAUGCCGAAAUAAUACAAAGUGUUACCCAUACGGAUAUGGUUUGAUGACUUCAGAUGGUGGACGGAAUAAAAAGAUUGCCAGUAGCCAACGACAAUAUCCGUUUCAAUUAUCUGCAGAUCCUGAUGACGAAGAUAAAGAAUUCGUGUAUAUUGAUACAUAUUUUAAUGUAGUUAAUGAAAAAUGAAUAAAUUUUUUUAACUGA